rnacentral:rRNA from 1 species
GACGAACGCUGGCGGCGUGCCUAACACAUGCAAGUCGUACGGGACCGGGGGCAACUCCGGUUCAGUGGCAGACGGGUGCGUAACACGUGAGGAACUUGUCCGGUGGCGGGGGAUAGCCGGCCCAACGGCCGGGUAAUACCACAUACGCUCGUUCGGGGGCAUCCCUGGGCGAGGAAAGCAGCCGCAAGGUUGCGCCGACGGAGGGCCUCGCGACCUAUCAGCUUGUUGGCGGGGUAACGCCCACCAAGGCGACGACGGGUAGCUGGUCUGAGAGGAUGAUCAGCCACAUUGGGACUGAGACACGGCCCAGACUCCUACGGGAGGCAGCAGUGGGGAAUAUUGCGCAAUGGCCGCAAGGCUGACGCAGCGACGCCGCGUGUGGGAUGACGGUCUUCGGAUU